rnacentral:rRNA from 1 species
GAUGAACGCUGGCGGCGUGCCUAAUACAUGCAAGUCGAGCGAACAGAUGAGGAGCUUGCUCCUCUGACGUUAGCGGCGGACGGGUGAGUAACACGUGGAUAACCUACCUAUAAUACUGGGAUAACUUCGGGAAACCGGAGCUAAUACCGGAUAAUAUAUUGAACCGCAUGGUUCAAUAGUGAAAGACGGUUUUGCUGUCACUUAUAGAUGGAUCCGCGCCGCAUUAGCUAGUUGGUAAGGUAACGGCUUACCAAGGCGACGAUGCGUAGCCGACCUGAGAGGGUGAUCGGCCACACUGGAACUGAGACACGGUCCAGACUCCUACGGGAGGCAGCAGUAGGGAAUCUUCCGCAAUGGGCGAAAGCCUGACGGAGCAACGCCGCGUGAGUGAUGAAGGUCUUCGGAUCGUAAAACUCUGUUAUUAGGGAAGAACAAAUGUGUAAGUAACUAUGCACGUCUUGACGGUACCUAAUCAGAAAGCCACGGCUAACUACGUG